rnacentral:rRNA from 1 species
CCCGGCGGCUUCCUAAUACAUGCAAGUCGAGCGAAUGGAUUAAGAGCUUGCUCUUAUGAAGUUAGCGGCGGACGGGUGAGUAACACGUGGGUAACCUGCCCAUAAGACUGGGAUAACUCCGGGAAACCGGGGCUAAUACCGGAUAACAUUUUGAACCGCAUGGUUCGAAAUUGAAAGGCGGCUUCGGCUGUCACUUAUGGAUGGACCCGCGUCGCAUUAGCUAGUUGGUGAGGUAACGGCUCACCAAGGCAACGAUGCGUAGCCGACCUGAGAGGGUGAUCGGCCACACUGGGACUGACACACGGCCCACACUCCUACGGGAGGCAUCAGUAGGGAAUCUUCCGCAAUGGACGAAAGUCUGACGGACCAGGUCCGCGUGAGUGAUGGAAGGCUUUCGGGUCGUAAAACUCUGUUGUUAGGGAAAACCAAGUGCUAGUUGAAUAAGCUGGCACCUUGACGGUACCCAACCUGAAAGGGGUGGCAAGAGACGUGCCAGCCGCGGCGGUGUUACGUACGUGGCUAGCAUUAUCCCGAAUUGUUGGGCGUAUAGCGCGGGCACGUGGUUUCUCAAGUCUGAUGUGACAGCCCGCGGCUCAUCCGUGGGCGGUCUGUGGAAACUGUGAGACUUGACUGCAGAGGACGAAAGUGGAAUUCCAUGUGUAGCGGUGAAUUGCGUAGAGAUAUGGAGGAGCACCAGUGGCGAAUGCGACCUUCUGGUCUGUAACUGACAUUGAAGCUCGAAACCGUGAGGACCACAUCGGAUUAGGUGCUCCGGUAAUCCACGCCGUAAUCGAUCAGUGCUAAGUGUUAUAGGGUUUCCGCCCUUGACUGCAGAUUUCACGUUUUCAAGCAAUCCCCCCGGGGGAAUACCGCGGCCAUGCCAAAACUCAAAGAAAUCACCGGGGCCCGCCUUAACCGUGGAAACAUGUGGGUUAAAUUCCUAGCCACCGCGAAUAACCUACCCGGUCUUGACUUCUUUUGACAACCCUUUAGAUGGGGUUUCCCUUCGGG